CCAAUUUAGAACAUUUGCUUUUAUGGGUGAAACAAAUCUCUGCGUGGUCUCAUGAUCAAGAACCUGCAUUUUUGAGGCUUCGUCUACAAUUGAAUUCCAUGUACACUCCUCUUCUCUCGUUCCUUGCCCUGAUACUGACUCUGCUUCCUCUGUAGUCCUUAGAGAGGUCAAUUGCGAAGCACCAUCAAGGACAAAUGUUCUAAAUUGGUCCGACCGGUCGAAC
rnacentral:misc_RNA from 1 species